UACAGAGGUCUCAAGCGUUGUUCGGAUUCAUUGGGCGUAAAGGGUGCGUAGGCGGCGCGGUAAGUCGGGUGUGAAAUCUCGGAGCUUAACUCCGAAACUGCAUCGAUACUGCCGUGCUGAGGACUGGAGAGGAGACUGGAAUUUUUACGGUGAGCGGUGAAAUGCGUAGAUAUCGUAAGGAAGACCAGUGGCGAAGGCGGGUCUCUGGACAGUUCCUGACGCGAGGCACGAGGUCAGGGGGAGCAAACGGGAUAGAAACCCUGAG
rnacentral:rRNA from 1 species